UGGGGAAUUUUGGACAAUGGGCGCAAGCCUGAUCCAGCCAUGCCGCGUGCGGGAAGAAGGCCUUCGGGCUGUAAACCGCUUUUGUCAGGGAAGAAAUCUUCUGGGCUAAUACCUCGGGAGGAUGACGGUACCUGAAGAAUAAGCACCGGCUAACUACGUG
rnacentral:rRNA from 1 species